rnacentral:rRNA from 1 species
AUACGGAGGGUGCAAGCGUUACUCGGAAUCACUGGGCGUAAAGCGCGCGCAGGCGGCUUGAUAAGUUGGAUGUGAAAGCCUACGGCUCAACCGUAGAACUGCAUCCAAAACUGUCAGGCUAGAGUGUGGGAGAGGAAGGUGGAAUUAGUUGUGUAGGGGUAAAAUCCGUAGAGAUAACUAGGAAUACCAAAAGCGAAGGCAAUCUUCUGGAACAGUACUGACGCUGAGGCGCGAAAGCGUGGGGAGCAAACAGGAUUAGAAACCCUUGUAGUCC